rnacentral:misc_RNA from 1 species
CGACGUCGCUUUUAUCCUCUGUCCUCCUUCUAUCCAAGUCCCAAUUCUCUAUUUCUCUCUUCUUUAUCUUGGCGUUAUUAUCUCUCCCGCCAACCCACUCGGUUCCAAGUCCGAGGUAACUCACCAAAUCCAACUAUGUAAGCCCAAAAUCGCAUUCGCCACGUCACAAACAGCUCAUAAACUCCCUUCUCUCCCUCUCGGCACCAUCCUCAUCGACUCGCCUGAG